UACGGGGGGGGCAAGCGUUGUUCGGAAUUACUGGGCGUAAAGGGCGCGUAGGCGGUUCGCUAAGUUGAAUGUGAAAACUCUGGGCUUAACCCAGAGCCUGCAUUCAAUACUGGCGGGCUAGAGUUCUGGAGGGGAUAGCGGAAUUCCUGGUGUAGCGGUGAAAUGCGCAGAUAUCAGGAGGAACACCAAUUGCGAAGGCAGCUCGCUGGGACGUCACUGACGCUGAGACGCGAAAGCGUGGGGAGCAAACAGG
rnacentral:rRNA from 1 species